AGAGUUUGAUCCUGGCUCAGGAUGAACGCUGGCGGCGUGCCUAACACAUGCAAGUCGAACGGACUUAUAACGAAACCUAGUGAAUUAUAAGUUAGUGGCGGACGGGUGAGUAACGCGUGGAAAACCUGCCGUAUACUGGGGGAUAACACUUAGAAAUAGGUGCUAAUACCGCAUAAGCGCACAGCUUCGCAUGAAGAAGUGCGAAAAACUCCGGUGGUAUACGAUGGUUCCGCGUCUGAUUAGCUAGUUGGUGAGGUAAAAGCCCACCAAGGCAACGAUCAGUAGCCGGCCUGAGAGGGUGAACGGCCACAUUGGGACUGAGACACGGCCCAGACUCCUACGGGAGGCAGCAGUGGGGGAUAUUGCACAAUGGGGGAAACCCUGAUGCAGCGACGCCGCGUGAGUGAAGAAGUAUUUCGGUACGUAAAGCUCUAUCAGCAGGGAAGAAUAAUGACGGUACCUGACUAAGAAGCCCCGGCUAACUACGUGCCAGCAGCCGCGGUAAUACGUAGGGGGCAAGCGUUAUCCGGAUUUACUGGGUGUAAAGGGAGCGUAGACGGCUGUGCAAGUCUGAAGUGAAAUGCCGGGGCUCAACCCCGGAACUGCUUUGGAAACUGUACAGCUAGAGUGCAGGAGGGGUGAGCGGAAUUCCUAGUGUAGCGGUGAAAUGCGUAGAUAUUAGGAGGAACACCGGUGGCGAAGGCGGCUCACUGGACUGUAACUGACGUUGAGGCUCGAAAGCGUGGGGAGCAAACAGGAUUUGAUACCCUGGUAGUCCACGCCGUAAACGAUGAUUACUAUGUGGCGGGGGGGCCAAGGCCCUUCGGGGCCCGCCCAAACCCAUUAAUUAAUCCACCUGGGGGAAAUCCUUCGCAAGAAUGAAACUCAAAGGGAAUUGAGGGGGACCCGCACAAGCGGUGGAGCAUGUGGUUUAAUCCGAAGCAACGCGAAGAACCUUACCCGACCUUAACAUCCCGAUGAAUGUACAGUAAUGUGUACAGGACUUCGGUACAUCGGAGACAGGUGGUGCAUGGUUGUCGUCAGCUCGUGUCGUGAGAUGUUGGGUUAAGUCCCGCAACGAGCGCAACCCCUGCCCUCAGUAGCCAGCAGGUAAAGCUGGGAACUCUGAGGGGACUGCCCGGGAUAACCGGGAGGAAGGCGGGGAUGACGUCAAAUCAUCAUGCCCCUU
rnacentral:rRNA from 1 species